rnacentral:rRNA from 1 species
UACGUAGGGCGCAAGCGUUGUCCGGAAUUAUUGGGCGUAAAGAGCUCGUAGGCGGCCUGUCGCGUCCGCUGUGAAAUCCCGGGGCUUAACCCCGGGCCUGCAGUGGGUACGGGCAGACUAGAGUGCGGUAGGGGAGACUGGAAUUCCUGGUGUAGCGGUGAAAUGCGCAGAUAUCAGGAGGAACACCGGUGGCGAAGGCGGGUCUCUGGGCCGUAACUGACGCUGAGGAGCGAAAGCGUGGGGAGCGAACAGG